GGGUAAAUGUACCGAUUUCCUUCCAGCCUGAAGGCCACCCCUGGAGGCUGAGCGGUGUCACAGCUUCACCUCAUCCAGCCACUUCAUUCUGCAGCUGGGUCCCUGACAAUGAGCCUGGCCGCUUUGCUGCUGGUGCUGGCUCCAGGUACAUUGGGCCAAUACACGGUGACCCAGGACCGGUCCCAGGCCCCUGCCCAUGAAGGAGAACCCAUCCAGCUCAACUGCUCCUACACGGGCUCCGAGUACAGCGUGCACUGGUACCGCCAGCCCCAGGGGGGCCAGCCGCGGUUCGUGGCCUCCCUGUCCUCUAGCGGCAGAGACACCCGAGAGAAUUUCACCAUGAGCCUGGACACCAAAACCAAAAGCAGCUUCUUGUACCUGAACAGCAGCUGCCUGGAAGACGCCGCGCUGUAUCUGUGCGCGCUGGAGCACCGUGCGAGAUGAACACAGGCAGCCCGUCACAAAACCCUGGGUGGGGCAGGCCACAAGGACCGAAGAGAGGAGAUAAGAAGAAGUUAGAAUAGAACAGAGGAUAUGAGCACAGAAGAGAAGAAAGGGAAGUAGAACAGAGUAGGUGAGAGGCAAUAAGAACAGAAUGGAACAGAACAGAAUACAUUGGAAUGGACCAGAACAGAAGCUAUGUGAACAGAAUAAAGGGGAGAGAAGUCAGUAAUUUAAGGAAGAAAUUUGAAGAAACACCUGGAAAAUUAUAGACAGUCACAUUUUCACCUUUUCACCUUCCCCAGUUGCCUGGAUCGGGUGGUUUUAUAUCACAGAUAGCUUCCUUGCCCCACAACACUAGCAGGUGGGGAAGCAUUGUCUGGGGAGACAAUAUGGUAACUCAAUAAUUCCAAUGUGAUUUUCCCUGUUGUUCAGGUCAGACACUUUCAGACUGGAAACAUGCACACAGACAUUCCUCACAUACAGCCACACACAGGACACACUCACACAAGCAUUCUCUCUCUCUCACACACACACACACUCUUGCACAGACAUACACAUUCACAUAAGAAUUCUCACAUACAACCACA